rnacentral:rRNA from 1 species
CCUAUGGGAGGCUGCAGUGGGGAAUAUUGGACAAUGGGGGCAACCCUGAUCCAGCCAUGCCGCGUGUGUGAAGAAGGCCCUCGGGUUGUAAAGCACUUUCAGUGAGGAAGAACGCCUGGUGGUUAAUACCCAUCAGGAAAGACAUCACUCACAGAAGAAGCACCGGCUAACUCCGUGCCAGCAGCCGCGGUAAUACGGAGGGUGCGAGCGUUAAUCGGAAUUACUGGGCGUAAAGCGCGCGUAGGUGGCUUGAUAAGCCGGUUGUGAAAGCCCCGGGCUCAACCUGGGAACGGCAUCCGGAACUGUCAAGCUAGAGUGCAGGAGAGGAAGGUAGAAUUCCCGGUGUAGCGGUGAAAUGCGUAGAGAUCGGGAGGAAUACCAGUGGCGAAGGCGGCCUUCUGGACUGACACUGACACUGAGGUGCGAAAGCGUGGGUAGCAAACAGGAUUAGAUACCCCGGUAGUC